UGCAGGUUAAAGAUGCCACAUAGAACACGGCCUAUGACUGCUCUCUUGGUGUUUGUGGGAGUGAAUGUUUUGGCAUCAACAAUUACUCCAAUGUAUGAUUUCGUUUGCUUCCUUCCAUAUUGGGAAAGAAGGAGAGAAUGUCAUCGAAAGGAACGUGAAGCUGCUUUAACGAAGGGGCCCUGAAUCUGCCUAAAGGAUUUUCUGAUGCAAACUUUUCAAAUCACUGAUUUCUGUGCUUCAUUGUUUGUGUUGUGAAGUUGCAAUAUCUAUUUUCCUGGAAGAGUAAAAGUGAACUGGAAGAUGUGUUUCUGGUAGCAAAUUUAGGUUCUCCUUACCCUAUGGGUUAAUGUUGCUUUUGCUGGAACAUGUUACUACAGGGUUUUCUUAGUCAUGGAAUGGGUAACACUUUGCUGAAGCGUUGGCAGACAUGUAGGUUUUAUCUGUUGGAGAGUUUACUGAAUAAGUAUACCUUGCCGCCGAUUGUCGCUUUAUGAGGCUGAAAAUCAACAUUCUGAGAGAGAAGAAAAGCAAGAACUUAUAGAGUUGAAAUCCUACGUUUCUCGCAGAUAGUAGGAAAAGUACAUUUGUGAAAACUGAAUAGCUGUUCAAUUUUUUUCUACCCCCACCCCAUUGGAGAGAUAGCAAAGAUGAGUGUUCCAUUUUGGCUCAAUUGCUCCAAAUUUUUUUUUUUUGUAAAAUAUUGUAGAUAUUUUCCACAUGAUAAGGAUGAAGUUUGAUACUCA